rnacentral:rRNA from 1 species
CAUUAUCGUAACAAACGGGGGCGUGCCAGCUCUGCUCCGGCUCAAUCGGCCGUGAGCGGGUGACCGCGUCUUCUGUCCACACAAACCCCUGUGCACCUUUCGGCGAAGGUGGGCGCGAGCCCGUCUGACCCGCAUCACAAACUCAGUAUUAAGAAUGUAACGCAGACUCAGUCUGUCUAAACAAAUAACAACUUUCAACAACGGAUCUCUUGGCUCUCGCAUCGAUGAAGAACGCAGCGAAAUGCGAUAAGUAAUGUGAAUUGCAGAAUUCAGUGAAUCAUCGAAUCUUUGAACGCACCUUGCGCUCCUUGGUAUUCCGAGGAGCAUGCCUGUUUGAGUGUCUUGAAAUCAUCAACCCCUUCGGUUUUGCGACUGAUGCGGGUUGGACUUGGGGGUUUGCUGCUGAAAGGCGGCUCCCCUUAAAUGUUUCGGUCGGGCCUGUAGGUCGACUUUGAUUGGGCGUUGUAUUAUCCUCGCUCCUGAAAGUCUCCUCUUUCGUGCCCUUCCACGACCUGCCUAUGGAGUGGCGGUCAAACUUUUCUGACAUCUGACCUCAAAUCAGGUANGACUACCC